GUCUAUGGCCAUACCACCCUGAAUGCACCCGAUCUCAUCUGAUUUUGGAAGCUAAGCAGGGUUGGGCCUGGUUAGUAUUUGGAUGGGAGACUGCCUGCGAAUACUGGGUGCUGUAGGCC
ensembl:rRNA 5S_rRNA 5S ribosomal RNA